GAGAAUGUAGCUGAGUGGUAGAGCAUUUGCCUAGCAUGCAAAAGGCCCCAGGUUCAAUCUCCUGCAAAACACA
rnacentral:tRNA from 1 species